GAUGAACGCUGGCGGCGUGCUUAACACAUGCAAGUCGAACGGAAAGGCCCAAGCUUGCUUGGGUACUCGAGUGGCGAACGGGUGAGUAACACGUGGGUGAUCUGCCCUGCACUUCGGGAUAAGCCUGGGAAACUGGGUCUAAUACCGGAUAGGACGAUGGUUUGGAUGCCAUUGUGGAAAGUUUUUUCGGUGUGGGAUGAGCUCGCGGCCUAUCAGCUUGUUGGUGGGGUAAUGGCCUACCAAGGCGUCGACGGGUAGCCGGCCUGAGAGGGUGUACGGCCACAGUGGGACUGAGAGACGGCACAGACUCCUACGGGAGGCAGCAGGGGGGAAUAUUGCACAAUGGGCGCAAGCCUGAUGCAGCGACGCCGCGUGGGGGAUGACGGCCUUCGGGUUGUAAACUCCUUUCGCUAGGGACGAAGCGUUUUUGUGACGGUACCUGGAGAAGAAGCACCGGCUAACUACGUG
rnacentral:rRNA from 1 species